rnacentral:tRNA from 1 species
GCCGGUGUUGCUCAGUAGUUAGAGCAACAGUCUGCACACUGAAGAGUUGCAGGUUCGAUUCCUGGCCCUGGUC